CCUACGGGUGGCAGCAGUGGGGAAUAUUGGGCAAUGGGCGCAAGCCUGACCCAGCAACGCCGCGUGAAGGAAGAAGGCUUUCGGGUUGUAAACUUCUUUUCUCAGGGACGAAGCAAGUGACGGUACCUGAGGAAUAAGCCACGCCUAACUACGUGCCAGCAGCCGCGGUAAUACGGAGGUGGCAAGCGUUAUCCGGAUUUAAUGGGUGUAAGGGGUGUGUAGGCGGGACUGCAAGUUAGAUGUGAAAACCACGGGCUCAACCUGUGGCCUGCAUUUGAUACUGUAGUUCUUGAGUACUGGAGAGGCAGACGGAAUGCCUGGUGUAGCGGUGAAAUGCGUAGAGAUUAGGCGGAACACCAGUGGCGAAGGCGGUCUGCUGGACAGCAACUGACGCUGAGGCGCGAAAGCGUGGGGAGCAAACAGGAUUAGAUACCCCGGUAGUC
rnacentral:rRNA from 1 species